GGCGGCGGGGGGAGGCGGCUGCGGGCCCGGGGUGUCCCUCUGAAACCACCCGUGAUGGCGAAGGGUGCCGGAGCGGCCUGUGGGAGGGGGCGGCCGGCCCGGUGCCCUUCUCGGGAAGCAACCGGCCCGCGGGCACGGCUGUCACCGUGUGUGCUUAAAAACGGUCGCUCUCCUCAAGUGGCAAUGCAAUGAGGACAGUGCACAGGGCUAGAAACGGGUUUAGGUCUACUUAGGAACCACUGAACACCUACCCCGGCUCCCCCCAGGAAUUUCAAGCAGCCACAGCUCUGCCCGUGGCCAGGGCCCUUUAAAGCAUCUCCAAACGCCAGCUGCGAGAGCAGGCACCAAGCCGGAGGAGCGGACCAGCAGCUAGGAACCACGGAAAUGCAGCCAGAGCAGCGGUGCCUUUAGCACAACCCACACACACACACCGGAGCGGUGUGCCCCAGCGCAGGAUGCUGAGCAGCUCAUUAGUUACCGCACACUUGAAGAUGACUCUGGGCAAACCUGUAGAGGUCUUCGUGACAGCUGAGCGAGCAUCCAGAGAUGGCAGGUGAAACUUAUACAGCAGACAUCGAUGCUAACAGAGAUUCCUCAAAGAUCCUGGUAUUAGUAACCAGGAGCAUCCUUGAGGAGGUGUUGCUUUUCAUCCAACCUGUACCCCAGCAACACAAGAGGGAGGGUGGCAGAGCCCACCGGUUGGAUGAGAG